rnacentral:rRNA from 1 species
UACGGGGGGAGCAAGCGUUGUUCGGAUUUACUGGGCGUAAAGGGCGCGUAGGCGGCGUGACAAGUCACUUGUGAAAUCUCCGGGCUUAACCCGGAGCGGCCAAGUGAUACUGUCGUGCUAGAGUGCGGAAGGGGCUACUGGAAUUCUCGGUGUAGCGGUGAAAUGCUUAGAUAUGACAUAGAACACCAAUUGCGAAGGCAGCUUACUACGGAUAUAUUGACACUGAGGCACGAAAGCGUGGGGAUCAAACAGG